GACGAACGCUGGCGGCGUGCUUAACACAUGCAAGUCGAGCGGAAAGGCUCCUUCGGGGGUACUCGAGCGGCGAACGGGUGAGUAACACGUGCGUAAUCUGCCCUUCACUUCGGGAUAGCUCCGGGAAACCGGGAUUAAUACCGGAUAUGACGCGCCCGGGCACCUGGUGAGUGUGGACAGAUUUGUUGUGGGGGGAUGGGCUGGCGGCCUACCAGCUUGUUGGGGGGGUAAUGGCCUACCAAGGCUUCGACGGGUAGCCGGCCUGAGAGGGUGACCGGUCACACUGGGACUGAGACACGGCCCAGACUCCUACGGGAGGCAGCAGUGGGGAAUAUUGUACAAUGGGCGGAAGCCUGAUCCAGCAACGCCGCGUGAGGGAUGACGGCCUUCGGGUUGUAAACCUCUUUCAGCUCCGACGAAGCCUUUGGGUGACGGUAGGGGCAGAAGAAGGACCGGCCAACUACGUGCCAGCAGCCGCAGUAAAAC
rnacentral:rRNA from 1 species